UCCCAGGGGACGCUGCCUUUGAUCUUCCUGUUUCCUUGUCAUCCCAUCAGCCGAUACCGGCCCCGCGUGUCCUUCCCACGCUGCAGCACCUGGGAGGCGUGGCGGGGACGGGGCGUGUGACUCAGGCUCCCAGCGUAACCAUAGCGGGGACUUGCUUUCUGUGCUGCCCGGCCAGCCUCAGCCACUUUCAGACUGAACUUUCACCUCCUCCUUUCCUGGGAAAUGAAACCUGAGGGGAGAGGUGAGAACUUCUCCAAACUCCUGGGAGCACAGAAGUAGGAUCUCCUUGCUGUUGCAGAAGACGGAGUGGCCCCAGGCCUGUUUGGCGGGCAGGGAGGGUAAUCCAGGCUGAAAUGAGGAUCUCUCUUUCACCUCUGGCAUCCUGAGGUUCCCAAGUGAGUCAGAGCGCCCCAGGGUGUGAGGCCCCGGCGGGCAGGGACCUUGUCACCUCCCCCCCCAUCCUCUCCCCCAGGAAACGUCUGGCACAGUCAGCAAAUUUACCAGCGCGCAGCCUUGCAGGCCUCCGAGGUGCCUCCCAGUUACCCUGCAGUCAGACGUCCUCACUGUGCCGAUUCGGAAACAUUUGCACAGCCAGGCCCUGUAGGCUGGACGGCGGCUCCUUCGGGGGUUUCGCAACUCAAAAAAUGGGCUUUAUCAGUAAAAGCAACAUUAAGGAGACCUGAUGGGCAGUAUUUUCAAAGUGGUGAUGAACUUGUCUGUCUGAUCCCAACUGAUCUCCAGAGUGGCUGGAAGACAGUCCGUGUUCCAUAGGGUGUGUAGGACCUUGCGAACCCCUUGACUCCCUGGCAAAAGUGGGGGCUUGCUGGAGGCCCCCCGUGACUGCUUGUGACUUCCUGUCUGAGAUUUCUGCAGCUUGACCAUCAGGCGGAGGACUUUAAAACAUCGUAUAAGGGACUCAUAAGAAUCACGUUUUCAGUCAUUUCUCUGAGUGAGACAUUGUGAAGUUCAUCUUGUCAGUAGUAUUUUUUUUAAUGUAUUUCAUUAAUAAAACUAUAAAAAUAAUCAAG